GUCACCCACCGGGUCCCUUCUGAGCGCUCCCCCUCGCACCGCGGGUCCGCCGCUCCCGCCUUCCACCUCACGGAACGCGGCCCCUCCGCUCCCGCCUUCCCCCUCAGGGAACACGGCGCCGGCGGCUCCGAGCCGUGAAGGGGGGAGCGGGGCGCCCUAAGUGAAAGCGCCUGAAACAGCGCGCAGACCAUGGACUCGACUCUGCCUCCCCCCACAUCAGCCUUUUAACCCGCACAGCAUCUUUAAUUUAAACGGAAAUUAAUCUCCGGCCCAAAUAGGCCGGGAUUUGGCUCACCUGCGGCUCCCGUCGCCUGGACCCGGAGGAGGUGCCGGCUGUCUGGAAAACAAGGGAUGAGAAAACCGAGGGAUUUUCUGCAGGCUUGAUGUAACCCGCAGCAGGCUGUUGCAUCAAAGACUAGAAAAGGAACCCGAGACAAAAAUAAUCUUUUAAGAGCGUGCAGCUAAGAUUAGUGCAGCGUGUCAAGAUGUUGCUGAGCGCCACAGAACGAGUCCUGCCUGUACCCACACAGAAACAAAUACUACUUUUCUGGCACCUUGUCCACUGCAACCCUGAGUUUCCAAAUUUUAUACCAAAGUGCUGUUUAGAGAUAGGUUACAACCAUACAAUUUUGAGUUUGAAAUCAGGCUUACCUCGGUUGUGGAUAUUUGGCUUGAGGGUUUAGAUGUGGCUUGUUAUAAAAGACAUAGAAUUCAUAUGAAGUUCUGAAUUUGUAAAUACUGUGGAUUGAUCAAAACUGAUCUGUAAAUACUCCAAUUUGUUCAGACCUACUGUCUUGGUUUACCUCAUCCCUCUGAAAAUCUGACCAAAUUGGAGAAUAUAAAAGCAAAAAAAGUACAAAAUAACACUAUUUUUCCCACAUGCUUUUAUUACUUAUAUUGUUUAUAGCAGAAAUGCUGCUCCUCAUACACCCCCAUGUAGGAAAUGUGGUGGCUGACAAAAGUCAGUGUCUACCUGGGCAGGAGCACCCGUGUGCAAGCCUGCACAUGCAGGCACAGCUCUGCGCUGCUAGGGUUGAUAUUUGGGAGCUGAGUCUGUCUUGUUUAUUUUCUCAACAGGCAGCAAACUGUAAGGAAUGUGUCAGGGACUCCGAGAGCGUUGCCCAUUCCUUGUGUUUCUACGUGAAAUGCAUUUCUAGCCACACCCAUAAAGAACUUGUCUCUCCUGACAGUACACAGUGGGCACCAAUUUGCUUCCUCAAGAUUUCAGAAUGUGCAUCUGAGGACUUAGGCUGCGCGUCGUAAAGUUUCCCUCGGCAACUGCUAAAAUUAUUCACAAGGCACUGCAGCAUGGCAGCAGCUAUCAGCUCUGGAAUGUUUUGCAUCUAGUUAAGAACACUUCAUGCAGGAAAUGAAGAAGAAAUGGCACUCUAAUAUUUCUGUUUGGGAAGCUGGAUUGACCACUCAGCUAUUAGCUAGAGUCACAGCUUUGGAAUGUGCCCUUCUAUUAUUACAAAUACUGGCUGCAUUAGAUUGGGUCCAAACUGCUCAUCCAUCGAUUGAUUUAGGACCAGGAGCCUACCUGGCACAGAGAUGUUCCCAUAGUCUACAAAUACAGUAGCUGAGUACCUGAGGUCACACCAUGGAGGAGCAGCCAAGCAGCUGGAGACUGUCCAAUGGCCACACUCCACCCCAAGUAUUUUCUGAGAUGAGAAAAUUACCCUUUGGCUGCUUCUCAACUUGCUUUUCUUGCUUGUAACCUUGAGUUGGUCUCUUUCUGUGGGAAACAUUAGUGGCAUUUGCCAAAAGCGCUGCUGCUGUGAGCCAGAUGUCCUGCUGUGUCACACAAACCACACGUACACGUCUCUUCAACCUGUAAACCCAGACCUAAUUUCACUAGAGCCUCAAACGAAUUCCUCACUGGCAAAACUAGGGAAAAACCCAAACAAACCUUGAGCCUAAUUGCUUGAAAACAGUAGGACACCUAGUGGAUUUAUAGGGAAUAUAUUUGGGAUUAUCAGCAACAUUUUGUCAUUUUCUUGGCAAAACCAGCUGUGAAUAUAUUUAUAGAGGAAUCACUGAAUUAUCAGGGUUUCUAUUUAAUAAAUUAAUCUUGUUACAGCUGCUACAGCCUUCAGUUUGCCUAAAGAAUUUAUUGCAACCUAUAGAAAACCCAAAGAGCAUUGUUUGAAUGACUUGGAAAAAAAAAAAAAUUACAGAAAACUGGAUGGUUCCCAAGGUCUGGGAACAGGAGAAAGGAUAUUCUGCCAGAUCAAAGUCAUCCCAGUUGUUCCAUCUGACAGCUCUCUAAUGAUCUUAAUGAGCAAAGUUUUACAGUCUCAGCCUGGCUCCCAGUACAGUCGUGCAGCUCCACAACAACAUGGCCAUGCUGAGCACAGCCAGCCGGCCCUGCUGCUUGUUUCAGCAGAGAAUGACUUGGCCACAGAACCCAAAGUGCUUCUUCAUUCCCCAGGGCUGAUCUUUUGAAUCCAAAUUAGAAGAUGAUGGGCCAAGCGAUAACGCCUGCGCUGCUGUCGCUGCAUUUGCCUGCUACCAGCUCCAACAUCAAGCAAAUUUUGACCCUGGAUAGGGAAUAAACCCCUCUGGCAGGGUGUGUAAGAGAAGAAAAUUUUGAGUGAUGAUUCUAUGAAAUUAUGUCUUGGCCAGCAAUUAUCCUGGGGUCACCAGGGUUAUCUUGCUAGUGUCUCUGGAGGUAGCAGACACAAAGAGAUGAGUGUUGAGUCCAAAAUGGUUCAGGAAACUGAUGACUUCAUUUUGACAGUCAUCACAAGGAACACCAAGUCAUUGAGUCUUGCACUCAACUCCUGUUCCCCAAACACACUGAAAACUUUCCUUUCUGCUUACCAUAAUAUUGUCCUAGUGAAAAAUGUCUCCAGAAGAUGGUUAAUUUUUCUGUUCUCUUCUCACUCUUUAAGCAGUGCUGCAGGGAUUCCUGAAAAACAGCAAAACCAGAAUGAGAUUUGAUUUUGGAUAAAAAAUCUGUUCAGAUGCAGGUCUUCUUUUUUAUUCCAAGUUCAAAGUUAGGAAAGGAAAGGCUAAUUUAGAAAUUAAUUUUGAUUUGGUCUACUUCUUCUUAUACCUUUUCUUCCUAGAGCUGUAGAAAUCAGAAAGGACAUAGCAGGUGAUGGAAUGUAAAUGAGUUAUCAACAGAAAAAUUCAUAUUAACUCCAUGUAUUCUAAUUAUUCCUACCUGUGGCAUAGAAUUACCUGAAAAAUAGAAUCCUUGUGUGUUGUAAACCCUUUAAAUUGGUCUUGGGUU